rnacentral:rRNA from 1 species
UACGGAGGGUGCGGGCGUUGUCCGGAAUCACUGGGCGUAAAGGGCGCGUAGGCGGCGCGGGCAGUCAACGGUGAAAGCUUGGGGCUCAACCCCGAGUCGGCCGUCGAUACUCCCGGGCUGGAGCACUGUAGAGGCAGGUGGAAUUCCGGGUGUAGCGGUGGAAUGCGUAGAGAUCCGGAAGAACACCGGUGGCGAAGGCGGCCUGCUGGGCAGUAGCUGACGCUGAGGCGCGACAGCGUGGGGAGCAAACAGG